CGGGGAAUAGCACAGCCUGGCAGUGCGCGAGUUUUGGGAACUCGAGGUCGGGGGUUCGAAUCCCCCUUUCCCGACCA
rnacentral:tRNA from 1 species